rnacentral:rRNA from 1 species
ACGAAACUGCGAAUGGCUCGGUAAAACAGCUAUAGUUUCUUCGAUGAUACUAUCGAUAACCGUAGUAAUUCUAGAGCUAAUACGUGCCUCGACGGUCGUGGUUAAAUUGGAUAUACAAACCAAUUUUGGUGAUUCACAAUUUUUUUGAUCGUGUGCGACGCAUCGUUCAAAUUUCUGACCUAUCAACUUUGAUGGUAAGGUAUUGGCUUACCAUGGUUGUGACGGGUAACGGACCGUGGGUGCGGGAUUCCGGAGAGGGAGCCUGAGAAACGGCUACCACAUCCAAGGAAGGCAGCAGGCGCGCAAAUUACCCAAUCCGGACUCCGGGAGGUAGUGACAAGAAAUAGCAAUAGAGGGCCCAAUGGGUUUUCUAAUUGGAAUGAGAACAAGGUAAAAAUCUUAUCGAGUAUCCAGCAGAGGGCAAGUCUGGUGCCAGCAGCCGCGGUAAUUCCAGCUCUGUAAGCGUAUACCAAAGUUGUUGCAGUUAAAACGCUCGUAGUCGAACCUUGGCCCAUGGCGCGGAUACCCUCACGGGAUGUCGUCGUGGGCUUUGUGGAUUGGUCUGGUGGUGCUUCACUGCAUCAUUACGGCACUGCCACCGUUUACUGUGAAAAAAUUAGAGUGUUCAAAGCAGGCGUUUGCCGUGAAUACAUUAGCAUGGAAUAAUAGAAUAGGACCUAUCAUAUUUUGUUGGUUUGUUGAGACUGGGUAAUGAUUAAAAGGGACGGUUGGGGGCAUUUGUAUUCUGUCGUCAGAGGUGAAAUUCUUGGAUUGACGGAAGACAAACGGCUGCGAAAGCGUCUGCCAAGGACGUUUUCAUUGAUCAAGAACGAAAGUAAGGGGAUCGAAGAUGAUCAGAUACCGUCGUAGUCUUUACUAUAAACGAUGAGGACUGGAGAUCGGGCGGGCAUUUUGGCCUGCCCGGCAUCCUUCGGGAAACCAAAGUGUUUGCUUUCUGGGGGGAGUAUGGUCGCAAGGCUGAAACUUAAAGGAAUUGACGGAAGGGCAUCACCGGGUGUGGAGCCUGCGGCUUAAUUUGACUCAACACGGGGAAACUUACCAGGUCCGGACAUAGUGAGGAUUGACAGAUUGAGAGCUCUUUCUUGAUUCUAUGGUUGGUGGUGCAUGGCCGUUCUUAGUUGGUGGAGUGAUCUGUCUGGUUAAUUCCGUUAACGAGCGAGACCUGGGCGUGCUAGAUAGGGUCCAUUACUGGUAGUCCUUCCUAGACGGACUGCGGGCGUCUAGUCCGCGGAAGCUCCAGGCAAUAACAGGUCUGAGAUGCCCUUAGAUGUUCUGGGCCGCAUGCGUGCUACACUGAGCGGGUCAACGGGUUGGUUGUGCGAGAGCAUUUCCGAAUCUCUAAAUCCGCUCGUGCUGGGGAUAGAGGCUUGCAAUUCUCCCUCUUGAACGAGGAAUACCUUGUAAGCGUGGGUCAUCAUCCCGCGCUGAAUACGUC